AAGAAAGAUGGUUUUUUCUGGAACUUGGCCUUGUACGUGUAUAUAGGUCUUAGCCCACUGCGUGGUGACUUCUCAGACCCAGCCACUGAUAGGAGCUGCUCAUUUCAUCUAAAGCAACCUGUUGUUUUCUGUGCUCUGAAGGUGGUGACCUCAGCGUCCACGACAGGACGCCCGUG